UUCACGGCUAUUGUUUGUUGAGAGAGAUAGAACAAUUCACGGCUAUUGUUUGUUGAGAGAGAGAGAGAACAAUCCACGGCUCAUUCUUGCAAGAGUAGCUGACCGAUAAUUGCACUCCAUGGCUUUUUCUUCAAACCAAGAGAUUAUCCCUUAUAGGAGGCCCGACACAAUCGAUGUAAAGUCCCAGAUCAGUACGUACUACAAAACCAUGUACUUGACUCGAGUAGAGGAGCGACUAAAAGUGAUUGGGGGUGAUCUACUGGCGAAGGUCUUGUGAGCAGGUGUAAGCAAUCACCAAUGAAACCACACCUUCACGCGACCAAGAGAAUUCUGAAGUAUAUUAGCAAUACCACAGAUCUUGGUCUGUUAUAUGGAAAAAGGUGCAUAUAUAUAUAUGUCAUUAUUUGGUUAUACGGAUGCUGAUUUCGGAGGAGAUUUGGAUGAUCGAAGGUCUACAUCAGGUUAUGCUUUCUUUUGUGGUCCUACAUGUAUCUCCUGGUGCAGCAAGAGCAAAAUUCAAUUUCACUCUCAACUACAGAACUUGAAUAUAAGGCAUCUUCUCUAGCAGCUCAAAAAUGUGUUUGGUUGUGAAGACUCUUCAGUGAUGUUCACACGCAGAUUCUUAAACCCACGACACUAUAUGGAGACAAUCAGAGUGCUAUAAAGCUUGCAUCGAAUCCCGUUUUUCACGCAAGAACAAAGCAUAUUGAACUCGAGCAUCACUUCAUACGUGAAAAGGUUCUUAUGGGGUAAUAUUUG